rnacentral:sRNA from 1 species
CGGAAGUGCCUUGCUGAUCGUGCGUGCUGGAAGCGUGAAGAACUCCCAUCAUCGCAGGUCACAAGGCACUUUCUCGUUUCCGGAGAAGCUAAACGUGCCUCCGGCGGGGGCGCUCAG